rnacentral:rRNA from 1 species
AUGAACGCUGGCGGCGUGCCUUAAGCAUGCAAGUCGAACGGGAUUUUGGAGUCGCAAGAUUUUAAUUUUCAGUGGCGGACGGGUGAGUAUAAGCAGGGAACAUACCCAAUUCUUAGGGAUAGCUCGUCGAAAGACGGGGUAAUACCCAAUGUGGUCGCAAGACUAAAGUUCCGGUGCAAACCGGGACGGAAAUGGAGUGGCCCUGCAUCUAUCAGCUAGUUGGUGGGGUAAAGGCCUACCAAGGCGACGACGGAUAGGGGGUGUGAGAGCACGACCCCCCACAAUGGCACUGAGACACGGGCCAUACAUCUACGGAUGGCAGCAACUGGGAAUAUUCGGCAAUGGACGAAAGUCUGACCGAGCGACGCCGCGUGAGGGAUGAAGGUUCUCGGAUCGUAAACCUCUUUUGCCCAGCCAUCGAGGCGGGGCGAAUAAGCACCUACAAACUACGU